AAAAUAGCUAUGAAAGGAAAUAGUAGAUAUUAUGAACUUUACAGAGAGAAUGCCCUUGGCUGGAAGGCAUUUAGGUAAUUAUAUUGAAGCAGUCCUGGAGCUAGAAUCUUGAACAUUUAGUAGAGGUUCUCGGUUUAUCCGUUAUCUUUUUGAGAGGCUAACUUUUAGUAAGUAGGGUGGUACCGCGGGUAAACUCGUCCCUAAG
rnacentral:ncRNA from 1 species